UACAGAGGUCUCGAGCGUUAGGCGGAAUCACUGGGCUUAAAGCGUGUGUAGGCGGAUCGUUAAGUACCUUGUGAAAUCCCACGGCUUAACCGUGGAACUGCUUGGUAUACUGGCGGUCUUGAGCCAGCUAGGGGCUACCGGAACAAAUGGUGGAGCGGUGAAAUGCGUAGAUAUCAUUUGGAACGCCAAUGGUGAAAACAGGUAGCUGGGGCUGUGCUGACGCUGAGACACGGAAAGCCAGGGGAGCAAACGGG
rnacentral:rRNA from 1 species